CCCUUAGAUGUUCUGGGGCCGCACGCGCGCUACACUGAAGGAAUCAGCGUGGCUUUCUCCCUGACCCGAAAGGGUUGGGAAACCCGUUGAAUCUCCUUCGUGAUAGGGAUUGGGGCUUGAAAUUGUUCCCCAUGAACGAGGAAUUCCCAGUAAGCGCGAGUCAUAAGCUCGCGUUGAUUACGUCCCUGCCCUUUGUACACACCGCCCGUCGCUACUACCGAUUGAACGGUUUAGUGAGGGCCUCGGAUUGGUCUCGGCCCGCUCUUUACCGGGCGGCGCCGUUGGUCGAGAAGACGCUCGAACUUGAUCGUUUAGAGGAAGUAAAAGUCGUAACA
rnacentral:rRNA from 1 species